GGUGUUUACAAACAGACGACCACAGCUGAAGUAGAUUGUGAGCUUGGAGAGGUCCUGAAACUGGCCACUUUUCGAAAGGGAGGUUCAAAGUUUGAGGAGAAGAGGAGGAAUUAAGAGGAAGCGACGGCGAAGAAGGGCAAAGGGAAGUGUAAAAAGGAAAUGGACAGUGAGAUGAGUGACCAGGAAGCGACGGCGAAGAAGGGCAAAGGGAAGUGUACAAAGAAAAGGGACAGUGAGAUGAGUGACCAGGAAGUGAAGAAGAAGAAAACAGGGAAAGGGAAAAGAACCAAGCAAACGCUAGUGAGACCAGUGAGCAUUGAGCAGGAAGAGAACCAACAAGAAGGGGCAGGAGUACACUGACGCGCACGACCAAGACCACAGCAUUCCAUUUCUAUUCCAUCCAUCCAUCCAUCUUCUUCCGCUUAUCCGAGGUCGGGUCGCGGGGGCAGCAGCCUAAGCAGGGAAGCCCAGACUUCCCUCUCCCCAGCCACUUCGUCCAGCUCUUCCUGUGGGACCCCGAGGCGUUCCCAGGCCA